CACUGGUUCAACAGUGGGAUAACUGCUGCUUUUUUUAGAUGUGGAAGAGGCUGCAGUUGAAUCACAACCCUGAACCCGUCUUGUCUUGCCCUUCUCCAUAUCAAGAUGAUCUUGUAUUCCUGAGGCUUUUUCUGGAGCUCUUCCAUUCUCACUUCUCUCUUCUUCCACUCCCAACACCUUCAUUUCUUCCCAAACAGCUCUAGGACCCUCUUUUGACAGGACUUUAACAGUUAAAGUAUCAUUUUGGCGAGAAACCUCCUCCCUUUUGUCACAACCUUUUCUGUUUGAUUUUAAAGCAUCUUGGAUAAAUUGCUGUGAAGAGCAGCUCUUCGAUGAACGAAGAGACGAAGACAGUGAAGACUGUUUUGGGGAGGACAUGGCGGACGACGGAACAAACUCCUGAAGAAUGUGGGAGGAAAUCAGAGGACACCCAACUGAAACACAGACAGAAGAUACCAACUUGACAAAGAAGAACGUUCUCACCUGCCAGCCCUCAGCUGAUCUGGAUGUCGCAGCUGAAUCUGAAGCAACGCAUGCGAGCGAGAGGACUGAGGAUUCACACCACUCACCCCCUGAGUGCGUAACUCUGUGCCAUGAGUGAUCACCUGAGAGGCAGGCAACAUAAAAACAGCAUGAGGUUUCUGUCAAAUAUUUUGUGGCAAAAAUGAAGAGCAAAAGUCAAACCUGCAGAAGCGCGUGCUCAGAGUCAACUCUGACCUCAGCCAGACCUGCGAUGUGGACCACCUUCCUCCCAUCCUCUCUGGAAUAUAACCUACAGCAGAGGAGCAAGAAACACUUCAGGCUGUCUCUGGGGUGGAAUGUUACAGGGAGGUCAUACAGGUGACCACAGUAGAUCUCAAAGAAGCUGACGUACACAGUCAAGGGACAUGGUGUCUGCAGGGUGGAGAGGUGAGCAAAGAUGUCCCGAACUGCCAAAGUGUACAAACCCAGGCUCCCGGGUGCACAACCCAACAUGGUGUGAGUCUUCCCGGCACCAGUCUGUCCAUAAGCAAAGCAGGUGGACUGGCCACUGGAGCGAGACAAACAUCAGAGGAAGUACGUUAGACACAACAAUUGCUGUCUGCUAUAUAGCUCAAGGCAGGAGAUUGAGAUGAAAUUAUUCACAGUUGUGAGUUGAGUUUUACACGACAUGGAAUUAUGGAAGAGGGGAGAAUGUAGGGGGGAAAGUACAGAAAUAAACAAAUGUGUAAAUAAAGAUAAAAAUAUGCUUCCAUAGAAUUAAAUUAAAAUUUUAAAAUAUAAUUAGAUUCAAAUUCAUAAAUAUGGAAGAGGACAGCUCAAUACAUACAAAAUACAUGUAUUUAGGGUUGUUAAUCACCAACUUCAUCACGAUACAAUGCUAUAUUGAUAUGUUUGAAUGACAAUACACAGCUGCAGUAAAACACAAUCUGCAAUCUGUACUGCAGUACACCAAUCCAUAACAUUUAAAUAUGAAAGGCAUCAGAUGUUUAACAGGACAUUUUUGUUUAACCUCAACAAGAUACUGAUAUAUUACUAAACUAGCUAUUAGUAGCUAUAAAUUAUAAUACAAAAAUAUAUAAUAUGAAUGAAGAGACUCAUUCAGGCAAGGAUAAAUCGUGACCAGUCUGCAUUGUCAUCUAUCCUGAAAUAAAGUUAAUGUGAAAAUGUAGAUCGAUGUUUUUCUACACCCCUAAUACACACAUUAACGCUUUGGAAAUUUCAUAGCUAUCUCAUCCAUAAGAGACAAAGCACUCGUGGGACUCCAUCCAAAGCUCCACCGCAGCUGACAUAUCUUUCCCUUCAACAGAAUGCGCCUGUAACCUCAAUUGCCCCCUUUGGAAGCAUUAAGUGUUUUGUACUUCAACAUACAUAAACAAAACCCUCACAUGAUUAACAUUGUAAGUUGUAACAAAUUAUUCUAUAACAAACAAGCAAACAAAAUCAUUACUUCCAUACCCAUUCAGUGUGUGCCGGACCAGAGGGUAGGCUGUUUUCAGAUACACAUCCUCAUUGGUACUUUCCUCUCCAAAAACCUGGUCAAAGUAAAACUUGUGCUGCAAGACAAAAACAGUAGAAAACAAAAUUAAACUUCUCUCAUUUCUAACAUUAUAGUAUUUCUAUGUAAAUGGUUUAACCAAAAAUACAAGAGCAAUAAUCCUUGAUGUCUGAAAGUGACACCGAAGCGUGUGAAUGAUUACCAGCUGUGUAUAUGGUGUUAAAUCACAUGCUUCUUUGCUCUCGUGGACGAUCACACAGUCUCCAUUUGCGACAGUGACAACAUCUGUCUCUCCUGUCUGGCUCUCUUCAUACAUGAGAGGUUUCUUCCUCACACACACCUUUAUCCGCUGCUCCCCUGCUCUUCUACAAACCACACACAUUAGGGAGAUAUUAAAUGUUUGUAAAAAAUAAAA